GGCCAUUAAUGACCUGCAAGAAGAGAGAGAAACCAACGGCUAGAGAAGUACGAGGUACGUACUAGCCUCAUUAAUGGCGAAGGCCAUCUCUCCGGCUGGAAAGGGACACGUAUGUUACGACUGUCAGGACAUCAGCGGGCACUUAGGAUACCGUUGGAUCAUCCAGAAGAACCUAACUGGUUGAUACGCUUUCCGUGUAUAUAAGCUAUCCUCAUGGUCAUCCAAGGUAUGCAUUCAAUAACUCAAGCAUUUACUCGUCAUAACGCAUUAAUUCCAAACAUUCUCUAAGCCACAUUGAAUACUUGGAAACCAGGAUUCACACCAUAUAUUCCGACGACAUCAGCACGUCGGAAUAAUCUUAUAUCUCCGGCAAGUUUACUUAUUCUCACGCCGGAGCUUGGUCACGGAUCCCCCCUCCAGGGUCCUCCGUGACGAGGCUAACGGUGCUCUGUUUUGCAGGUUGAAAGAAAAGCCCAUCGGAGCGUUGACGAGUCUCAUUAAUCUCUAACCGGAGCUCGGGGAUUCGACAGUAUGUAUGAUCUUUUAGUUGAAUCUUUCACAAUCUAGGGUUUCAUCAGAGAUCUUGCAUCCAUCGACUACAACGAUCUUACAGCGGCGACUGAUAUCCAAAGAAUAGCAUAAUCUUCAAUUGAGUUUUCCUGUUUCUAUCUUUCGCCAAUCCUCACACAGUUCUUCAAUCGGUUUUGGAUUUAUAUGAUACCAUUCAAAGGUUUUAGUUUUCUAAUCCAAUUCAGACGUUUAUGCGAUGAUUUCAAUUUAUGAUUUGCCCUUGAUUCGAAUCUCGCUUUGAAAGAUUAUUUGGUUGUUCUGGAAUCGAAACAAGUUGCAAUGACAGGACGAUGGCUGC